rnacentral:lncRNA from 1 species
GGGAGGCCUGGCGUGCUGCAGUCCAUGGGGUCACAAAGAGUUGAACACGAAUGAGAGACGGAACUGACAUCGAAACAACAGCACAGAGCCACCGUCGCCGCUGUUACACCUAGCACCCAGGACGGCAGGAAAGGGCAUGUGUGCAUGGGUCAGAGCAGUCUCCGACGGCUGCACACCCACUCUGCUUGCUGGGGGACACGCGGAUACAGUCACAGGAGGCCCGAGCUAGGCCCAGGCCUCCUCCCGCUCCCCCCAUGUCCCAGCACUGCCCCCCAACCUCACAAGCUCUUGGAGGCACACAGAAGAGCGAGUCCGUUAUUUCUGGGGGCAGGAACCCCUCUGAGAAGCCAAGAGUCACAGAUAACGCACACCCCCAGGUUCUCCAGCAUCUAUAAGGGGAGGCCCCGUGGACCAAGCACCAAGUCAACAGUCGACAGACCCCAAGGAACGAUGGGCCUGUCCCUCCACACACGACCGGACUCUCGUCCCCGAGCGGCCGAGUGGAGGCGGGUGAAGCGGGACAGCAUGUCCCCCCACGCUCUCCCUACACCCUCCCCUGCCUGUUCCAAACCACAAACACACCGGGAUCGUGGCCCCGGAAGCACAGCGUGGGCUGAGCGCCGCUGAGCCGGGAGGGCAGCAGGGGAACCCCCACCUCCCCCGAGCUGCCUCAGAUCAGAUUGAAGCCAGCCCUCCAUCAGACUCUCCCAGCCCGAGCUGCCCCACCCCAGCCAGCUCUCCUCCAGAACACUCCCCUCGGCCACUGCAGACGGGGCCCCUGCCCAGUACAUGUCAACACACACUUCCUCAAACUCGGGUCACUGCCCCUGGGAGGCCUCCUCCCCUCCUCAGGGCUCCCUCCGCCUUCUUUGGCUGCUGAGACGGCAAACGGGUGUGUUUCUGGAGAGCACGAGAAACUUCCACUGGGGAGGACGCGCCAAGGGGGACAGCACCUCUGCCUGACUCCUCCACUUUUCCGGGGAGCCCGCAGACCCCAGGCUAGACCCGCACGCCCCACGGCUCUGAGAGGACACCCAAGGCAGCGAGGGGGUCAUUUCAGGAAAGAACAAAGGGCCCCGAAGACGGACAGUGGGGCCCCAGAGCGAACUCAAGAGCCAAAGUGCAGGGCGGCCAGGCGGCUCCCACUCACACACCGUCCUUGCUGUGAGCAUUUCAUGGGGAUCAGUCAGGGAAGAGAUGUCUAAAAUGGCCCUCGGGGACAGCACCAGAGGCUGACUCGCUGGCCUGGGCUGAGGGGGUGGAGAUGCUGUGGGCCCCGGGACUGGCCCGUCCUGGCUCCGCCCCCCACGGUGGAGACGAUCAAUCCGGCUGGACCUCGGCCCCUUCACCUGCCGCCUCCCAGGCCAGGCGGUGCUGCUGUGACUUCCCUCUGAGCCGUAAUGACACCCGCCAGGCUCCCUCACCGAUUCAGUUAAACGAGCUCCCGGACACGCGCUGGCUUAGAGAAUGAGAGCUGUGAUGGUACCUUUUCUUUCUUUAACCACCUUUCAACGGCACUAACCAAGGGGACCGUGUGAGGAAAAGCACAUUCCGCGAGUUCAGAGCCUACAAGCACCCGGAGGACAAACGCAGAAAGGGAAGAGCGCAACUGGGGCAACGAGAAGCCCAAGAGGGGACGACCCGGCCCAGGGACCCCCGCGGCCCAGUGACCCCCGCGGCCCUCGCCCAACGCCCUGCCCUCUUGGAGCACCGCGGGCUGGGCUCGGUGACCAGGGGGCGGAGGGAAUGAACCCUCCCCCCGCCCUCCCCGCGGGCCAACCGGCCCUCCCUAGCUUCUGAGCUCUCCCGUGCCUGGAAAACACCCGAUCGCAUUCCUCCCGUACCUCCCCACCCUUCCCUGCGGAAAACCUGCCACCGCGAUUCCCGGGGCAGGGAGGAAAAGCGGUCAGCUAGAACACGAGGGGCUGUAACUUAAAGCUUGUUUCCAAAGCGUGGUCUUUCCCCGUCUCUCAGACGCUCGAGAUUGACAGGAACGCACCAGGCUUCUCCGCCAGCCCUCGCACAGCUUAAGGGAUCCGGUCCAAACUCCUGAGAGCCCCACACAAGGGCACAGGGGUGCCGCCCCGCCUCUGCGGGAGC